rnacentral:sRNA from 1 species
GGGACCGAACACACCGGGCCGGUUGGGGCCCCGCUCGCCGGCGGGAGCCACCGGAGCCCCGGCCACGAAGGGGUGCGACCCCCCGCCGGCCCCGCCCUCCCGGUUGCGGCCUGGCCAAUCAGAGCGGCUCUUACUGGCGGGUGGGCUGAGCCGGCCCAGCUGCUCGGAGGCUCUGGCAUGUCGGUUCCCGAUUCUGGUCCCCGGCCCCCAGCAGCGCCUGCCCCCUUCCCACCGGGGCCCCCCAUGAUGCCACCACCCUUCAUGCCCCCUCCAGGGAUCCCCCCACCCUUUCCUCCGAUGGGGCUACCCCCCAUGAGUCAGAGACCACCAGCUAUACCCCCCAUGCCACCUGGCAUCCUGCCCCCAAUGCUUCCACCAAUGGGGGCACCACCACCACUCACACAGAUACCAGGAAUGGUACCUCCGAUGAUGCCAGGAAUGCUGAUGCCAGCGGUGCCUGUCACCGCAGCGGUAAGCACUAGGGGCCAGCAGGUAGCAGGCUCUGCCCUGCAGUCCCGUGAGUCUGAUUUGGAAUGCAGGACUAUGACCUCCAUUCUUUCCCUCUUCUCAUCGCAUCCACCCA